AGCUUUGCAUAGUGGCAGUAUGACAGCCAAUAAGGUUUAUCUGAGGCACAAUUAUUGCUAAUUGAAAAAAUAUAGAAAUUAUCCCUAACUUGUUGGCUGUACAAAAACAAGCACAUUUGGCCCACAGGCC
ensembl:snRNA U4 U4 spliceosomal RNA